rnacentral:rRNA from 1 species
UGCCAGCCGCCGCGGUAAUACGAAGGGUGCUAGCGUUGUUCGGAAUUACUGGGCGUAAAGAGCAUGUAGGCGGAUGAAUUAGUCAGAGGUGAAAGCCCCGAGCUCAACUUGGGAACUGCCUUUGAUACUGUUUAUCUAGAGUCCGAGAGAGGUUAGUGGAAUUCCCAGUGUAGAGGUGAAAUUCGUAGAUAUAGGAAGGAAUACCGGUGGCGAAGGCGGCCUCCUGGACCAAUACUGACACUGAGGUGGGAAAGCGUGGGGAGCAAACAGGGUUAGAUG